UUUAAAGAGCCAUCAAAUCUCCUGCACGUCACCAGUGCUUCAUACCAAAUUCAGAUGCGGCCCGGCGGCAUGCCGCCCCUAAACUACCAUCGGGCAAAGAUUGCAUUGGGUUGAGCAAGAGGACCACUACUAGCAGGUUUGUAUAGGCUCCAUAUGAUCAAUCUUUGGACUAAGAUUCACCUCUUUGUUUGUCAAAUCGGUUUGUCUUUGCCCAAAGAGGCUAUGUUACCACUAGGAGCGCCUACGGCUUUAGACAUGGAUUUUGGAAGACAUGGAAACCUCUACCAGAAGGUAAAUUGGCAUUGGCUGCCAAAACAUCCCAUACUCCAAAAGAUGCCAAAUAUGAUCCCAAAAAGAUUUUGAUUCAUAAGAGUGCUUGAGAAGGAACCAAAAACUUUACUGCAAAAUCACUUCACAUGGGUUAUGGAAAAAACUGUGGAGAUGUUUCUGCUUUAAGCUUGCUACCCUUCAAAAAACAUCAUGCCAUGAGCACAGGAAUGCAAGAUCAUGCUUCUUUUAAUGUGGGAGGUAAAAAUGAAGCAUGGGCCAACAAGACAGAAAAGCAGCAACUGCCUGAACAAGAUAAAUCUGCAAGAUAAGCCAGUAAUUACUCAACCAAAAUUAAUUUGCAUUCAGAUAUUAAUAUUUACUUUAGAUAAAUCCAUAGGCAGAUUUAUAAAAUUUAAAGAAUAUUGGCAAAUCAACUGUAAACCCAAUGGCACUGACACUCAAGUUACAGAUUCUACAUUUUUAGGUUUCUAUUAAUUCAAUGCGGAAUUACAAGUUGCCUGGCAAAAAAAUCUGCCAGCAUACAAUGGGUUAAACUAUGGUGUUAUUCAAUCAUGGCCAUAUGAAAACUGUGUAUAAUAAAACCCCCACUGUUCUCCCAGAGAGGGACAUAUCCAUAUCAGUGCCAAAAAUAGUGUAAGAUAACCCCUACAGUCACAAAGAAGAGAUUUACCUGUGUAAUAUGGACAUGGUGGGGCUUAUAGUUUAACAACAGUUUUUGUUUUUAAAUCUGGUUUCAUUAAAACUGAGAUGGCUUUUUAAACUAACAUAUUUUAGUAAAAGUAAAAAACAUUCAACGCAUCAA